rnacentral:rRNA from 1 species
ACGGAGGAUGCAAGCGUUAUCCGGAUUUAUUGGGUUUAAAGGGUGCGUAGGCGGAUCAAUAAGUCAGUGGUGAAAACCUUCAGCUUAACUGGAGACUUGCCAUUGAUACUGUUGGUCUUGAGUAUGGGUAAGGUAGGCGGAAUGUGUAAUGUAGGGGUGAAAUCCUAUGAUCUUACGCAGAACACCGAUUGCGAAGGCGGCUAACUGGAACAAAACUGACGCUGAUGAACGAAAGCGAGGGGAGCGAACAG